AUCGACGCGCAACCGCAGAUCCCGAAGACUAAUCGAAAAUAAAAUUCAGCUGGUUCAAAAAUGGAUGAAUUCAGCUUCAGAACGAAAGCGCCGGCAGAAAUACACUCGCACGGUGGAGUCAGAGCUGGGACCAGAUAGGGGAACAUACGGAUCGCGACUGCCAACAAUCAACAACUCGUAGGAAGAGUACAAGAUCCGGCUAACGAGCGUGAAUAUUAUUGAUGAAUAUGUUCUAUGUGGGCUCUACAUAAUGUAUUACUUGAUUUAUCAAACUGCAAUAAAGUUAAUUUUAUUUCAAUUACUUCAAA